GACGAACGCUGGCGGCGUGCUUAACACAUGCAAGUCGAACGGUGAAGGGACUGGUUUUGCUGGUCCUGGAUGAGUGGCGACCGGGUGAGUAACACGUGAGUAACCUGCCCCCUUCUUCUGGAUAACCGCAUGAAAGGGUGGCUAAUACGGGAUAUUCUGUGUCUGUCGCAUGGUGGGCCUGGGAAAGAUUGCGCCUUUUUUGGUGUUUUUGGUGGGGGCUGGGCUCGCGGCCUAUCAGCUUGUUGGUGGGGUGUUGGCCUACCACGGCGGUGACGGGUAGCCGGCCUGAGAGGGUGGACGGUCACACGGGGACUGAGACACGGCCCAGACUCACACGGGGGGCAGCAGUGGGGAAUAUUGCACAAUGGGCGAAAGCCUGAGGCAGCGACGCCGCGUGAGAGAUGGAGGCCUUCGGGUUGUGACCCUCUUUCGACAGUGAAGCAGGCCUGCCUCUUUUUGUGCGUGGGUUGACGGUAGCUGGAUAAGAAGCGCCGGCUAACUACGUG
rnacentral:rRNA from 1 species